CCGCCAGGUGAGCCGUCACAUCUGGCCAGCAAAGAAGGCAUUAGCAUUGCUAGUCUCGAUUGGUACAGGAGUACAAGAGAACUGCCCACAGAGUCAAGUCGCGCCGUACUUCCGGAAUGUAUUCAAGGACGGCUUCGCCCGCCGUGCUCUCAAUGCCUGGCUCUCUUCUCUGGAUGGCGAGAAAAAGUGGAAGGAUUUAGUUAGUCAGCUGGACGACGAUGCGAAGCAGGAUCAUAUUCGACUGAAUGUCCCAUUAAAAGGUAUGGCUGCGGCUAUUGAUAACAUAAAUGACAUCGAUCUCUACCGUGAUCUUGUCAUUCUUCAGCCGGGGGUUGCUAGAAUGGCGGCAGAGGCAGCAUCUGCGCUCCUUAUCUCAACUUUCUAUUUUGUACUUGACACCAUUCCAGAAAGCAACGAUGGGAACCUACACUGCCGGGGAACCAUUCGCUGCCGACCACCCGUCAAGUCCAUAUUG
rnacentral:sRNA from 2 species